UUUCCUUUCCACCUCUCUUUUCAUUGCCUUUCUGGAUGUUCACUUUCCAUUGCCUUUGUACCGUCAUGCUCAAAGGUUAGACAUGGUGCAGUGGAAAGAAAAGCACAUUCUGGCUCCAAAUUAAAUGCGUUUUGGCAGUACUGCUGGGAUGCCUAUGGAUCUUUAUGGACAGAUUUGAUACAGCUGUGACUGUGAAUGGAAAGCAGUGCUUUGAACUGAAGAGGGGUGUAGAGGGUCAAAGGAAGGCCUCAUGCUGUGUUUUUAUCAAUAGACAAAUAGGUUGUGAAGGUGUGUCCUGUAAACGUCAUUGCUUUUGUGAACUUAUCAGCUCACCCUUUAAAUGAGGACUUGGGGGGGGGGGGAAGUGGGUCAGAAAAUAUUUUUACAAUUUGAAACCCCCCCAAAAUCAAGGGCGUCCUAUUUUUCCAGUGCCUAUUACUGUAAACAUGACAACUAUAAAGGAAACAACUGCAGUCUGUACAUCCUGAUAUUUCACAGACAGUUUUAUGAGUGACUCAAAUUAAAAAGCAUGGCAUUGCUUAUUCAUUCCACUGUCAAUAUCUUAAAGUAUUCUACACUCAGUUCUGAGAUUAAUGUGAUAAGCUGUGACUCUUCCUGUUAUUUCUUCCAGUGCUUUUUUUUUUUCUCUCUUUUAAUCUGAAAUAUAUCUGUUUCGUCUUAUUUUUGUACUGAGAGCCGUUUAAAGGCUUUGAAGAUAAGGGAAUAUUUUGCACCAGUGCUCACUGGGGUUCAGGAGUAUUCUGGAAAAUAAUUAUUUAUAGAAAACCAAUUGAUUUUUUUUCAGAAAGAUCAAAGUGCUUUCAGAGAUCUGCAAUAGUGUCACAUUCUUUCGAUUACGUGAGUGCAGCUGUGCUGAAGACCUGGAGAAGCAGUGAUGGCUCAUGCACUGCAGCUACUCCCUUCCCUAUUCUCAUAGGAAGCUCCUGCAUUGAGAUGAAGCAGAAGCUCUUUCCGUGCUUGAAUGGGAAGACGCAGGGAAGCAAGACCUCCUGCUUCAACUCUGCUGCCAAAGAGAAGAAUUUUCUUGCCUGUUGGCUGGAACUAUCUUCACCUGAGACAUCUCUAAUGUUAAAAUAUUAUUCAUGAAAUGCUCAGUGACUUUAACAGAGCUGCUUUAACAGUAAAUCAGGCCUGGGAACGUAACCUUCCUGACCACACGUAUAUAGUGGAAUUGUCCUUCUCCAUGAUGGAAAGGGGUUAAUAGCAGUUGCAAUGGCCUGUGUGGUAUGUCUGCUCCACUUGCUUCCGCUACCCUGGAGUGCUCUUUAUUUGGACAAACACAAUACCAUAAAAAUAUUCUUUUAUCAUUAAUUUUCUUCCUUGUGGUUUAUCCACCAGAAGUUCAUCUCAGGAAAAGUUUAUGCUGAAAUAUGUUGGGGACAAACUGUAACUGAACUCUUUUUUCUGUGUGACAAAAGAGAAAGCUGGGAUCCAGUCUGUCACCACCACUAACCUUUGUACUCACUUUUAUCUGCUGUGAAAACUGUUAUGUCAGACACAUCCUCCUUUUCCCUGUUUGUCUGAAAGUCUGUGAUCGUGCUACCGAAAUCAGCGGAACUGAAGCUUUAGGGCUAGACUGAAGCUUUGCAGUCAUACAAAUCUUUGGUUUCCCUUUACUGCUACCUUCAUGCUCAGCAGGAAGAAGGUGACUCUGUUUUACAUCACAGAGGGGAUUCCUCCACUUUUUGUGCUGGCUCCUUCCUCUCAUCCAUUGUACUCACCUGGGCACCACACCGCAGCAUAGUUUCACUCCCUUGUGUCUGAGAGGCGGAAGCAGAUACUUUGUGCAGUAGCUUAUGGUAACUGUACUCUCAGUUUUUAUUCACUGUUGUAGAAGGAUGUCCACAAAUUAAUGGGAAUUGAGGAUCUUUAGUCCUGGAUCUAGGCUCAAUGGAUCAAACUCAGAGCCAGCGUAUUGAUCAGGUGAGCAGAUAUCCUUCUUAGACCUGCUUUGGUUUAUCCAAGUAGAUGUACUUAGCUGCAGUUGGAAAGGAGGCCUGUGAACAGCAGAAAAUAAGCAUAUAGCAGCAGACCAAAGGAAGUAAAAUACUCCCUGGUGAAACUUGUAGGAAAAUCACUGAGUUCCUGUUCUGUGUGUGGGAAGGUUUUCUUCACAUUCAAGGGGUAAAUUACACUCUUUAUGAUGCAAUUCAUCCGAUGCCCACUUAACAGUAAGUGAACUGGGACGUGAUUCAUUUUUCUUUCUUGAGUCUUAAGGAAGCCUGUUACUGAUUAACUCAUGUCGUGCUCCACUUCAAGUGUCUGCAAUGGUCUGUAUGCUGUAGGAAGGGCACAAGCUCUCUUGAGGAGUGCUUAAUUAUAUCCUGUGUGGCAGAUAUAGACUUUUUUUUUUAAUUAGUAUUAUUCAUUGUUUUUUUUAAGGAGAAAGAAGAUAAGUAAAGGUGAGCACAUUUUGAAGCCCUGUAUUUGUCAGAGAUGGAUCUGAAUGGGAGCAGGGAAUACCCUGGACAGAACUGUACUCAGUUUUCUCUUCUAAGAAAACAAACAAAAAAAGUCUAUUCUGC